rnacentral:rRNA from 1 species
GGAGGAAAAGAAACCAACAGGGAUUGCCCUAGUAACGGCGAGUGAAGCGGCAACAGCUCAAAUUUGAAAUCUGGCGUCUCCGGCGUCCGAGUUGUAAUUUGUAGAGGAUGCUUCUGGGCAGCCACCGGUCUAAGUUCCUUGGAACAGGACGUCAUAGAGGGUGAGAAUCCCGUAUGCGACCGGAAGGGCACCCUCCACGUAGCUCCUUCGACGAGUCGAGUUGUUUGGGAAUGCAGCUCUAAAUGGGAGGUAAAUUUCUUCUAAAGCUAAAUACCGGCCAGAGACCGAUAGCGCACAAGUAGAGUGAUCGAAAGAUGAAAAGCACUUUGGAAAGAGAGUUAAAAAGCACGUGAAAUUGUUGAAAGGGAAGCGCUUGCAACCAGACUUGCUGGCGGUGUUCCGCCGGUCUUCUGACCGGUUCAUUCGCCGUCUGCAGGCCAGCAUCAUCUGGGGCCGCCGGAUAAAAACGGUGGGAAUGUGGCUCCCUCGGGAGUGUUAUAGCCCUCCGUGUAAUACGGCGUGCCUCGGGUGAGGUCCGCGCUUCGGCUUGGAUGCUGGCAUAAUGGUUGUAAGCGGCCCGUCUUGAAACACGGACCAAGGAGUCUAACAUCUAUGCGAGUGUUCGGGUGUCAAACCCCUACGCGUAAUGAAAGUGAACGGAGGUGGGAACUUUUUGUGCACCAUCGACCGAUCCUGAUGUCUUCGGAUGGAUUUGAGUAAGAGCAUAGCUGUUGGGACCCGAAAGAUGGUGAACUAUGCCUGAAUAGGGUGAAGCCAGAGGAAACUCUGGUGGAGGCUCGCAGCGGUUCUGACGUGCAAAUCGAUCGUCAAAUUUGGGUAUAGGGGCGAAAGACUAAUCGAACCAU